AUGCACACAUGUGAGAGCAGCCAGGGCCUGGGGCUCCCUCCUGGCAGAGCCUUUCCCACCACACCAGAGGGUGAGCAUCCCCAGGCCCUGCCCACAGCCCUGGGUCCCUCCAAAGGGCAAGAGACAAGUCUCCCCUUUGCACACUCCUCUUUGUCCCCGCUGCUGCGCCAGGCUGGGGAGAUGUGCCUGCAGCCUUGCUUGACUGCAGCCUGGGCCCCAGAGGGGAAAGUUAUCCUGACCAUCCAGGGUACCAGAGAGCUGGUGCAAACAUGGGGCAUGUCACCCCGGGAUGGGAGAGGACGGGCAGAUGUUUCUGCCAAGGGUCAGGCCUUCCUGGUGUCAGCCCUGCAGCCAUCUCUGUGGUGGUGGCCCCAGGAAGAUGCAUUUUUCCUACCUUUUUACUUGUUCUCCUCAGCUUGGCUGAUUAAGGCCUUCUUUUUCCUGGGAAGACAAAGGGCAAUCCUGAGAGGGGUGAGGCUCACGUUGCCAAGGCCACUGCCAACCCCAGCUGCAGAGGGAUGGAGGGCUUUGCACCUCUCUGCUCCUGGCCUCCCACAAGCUGGCAGAGGAGUUGCCCACCAGCACCCUAAGGGAUGGCAGUGGUGGCAGGAAGAGCCACAGGGGACGAGGUCUCUCGGUGCCUGUGGCCCCUGUCCCAGCCCCAAGGAAGAUGCUCACAAGCCCCAGGUGGGAGCCCUGCAGCCAAGCCAGUGUUGGAACCAGCUGUCUGCAUCCAUAGCAGCGCCAGGGUGGGAGAAGCAAGGGAGAAGACCCGAUCUGGCCCCAGUUGCCCCUCAGCACACAAAGCCCUGCAAUAGAGCAGUGACUCCAGGCCCCCCAGCCACUCACCUGGACAGCACAAACCACAGGAUCCCUGCAAUCAGGAAGGCCAACACAAAGAGCACAAGAACCACUGUGACCGCAGUCCAAGGCCAUGGGGCUGUGGCUUGCCCUGCAGCUAAAACAGAGCCAGAGGUGGGUAUCACAGCCUGGGGCAUGAGUCCAUGA
rnacentral:lncRNA from 1 species